rnacentral:snRNA from 1 species
CAAAAUCUAGAUCGCCAU